UGGGCAGUAGUUCAAUAGGUAGAACCCUAGUCUCCAAAACUAGUUGUUGUGAGUUCAAGUCUUGCCUGCUCAG
rnacentral:tRNA from 1 species